CCUACGGGGGACAGCAGUGAGGAAUAUUGGUCAAUGGACGAGAGUCUGAACCAGCCAAGUAGCGUGAAGGAUGACUGCCCUAUGGGUUGUAAACUUCUUUUAUAUGGGAAUAAAAUGUUCCACGUGUGGGAUUUUGUAUGUACCAUAUGAAUAAGGAUCGGCUAACUCCGUGCCAGCAGCCGCGGUAAUACGGAGGAUCCGAGCGUUAUCCGGAUUUAUUGGGUUUAAAGGGAGCGUAGGUGGAUUGGUAAGUCAGUUGUGAAAGUUUGCGGCUCAACCGUAAAAUUGCAGUUGAAACUGGCAGUCUUGAGUACAGUAGAGGUGGGCGGAAUUCGUGGUGUAGCGGUGAAAUGCUUAGAUAUCACGAAGAACUCCGAUUGCGAAGGCAGUUCACUGGACUGCAACUGACACUGAGGCUCGAAAGUGUGGGUAUCAAACAGGAUUAGAUACUCGAGUAGUC
rnacentral:rRNA from 1 species